UUCGAUCAUGGCUCAGAUUGAACGCUGGCGGGAUGCUUUACACAUGCAAGUCGAACGGCAGCACGGACUUCGGUCUGGUGGCGAGUGGCGAACGGGUGAGUAAUGUAUCGGAACGUGCCUAGUAGCGGGGGAUAACUACGCGAAAGCGUAGCCAAUACUGCAUACUUCGGGGAAAGCGGGGACCUUCGGGCCUCGCACUAUUAGAGCGGCCGAUAUCGGAUUAGCUAGUUGGUGGGGUAACGGCUCACCAAGGCGACGAUCCGUAGCUGGUCGAGGACGACCAGCCACACUGGGACUGAGACACGGCCCAGACUCCUACGGAGGCAGCAGUGGGGAAUUUUGACAAUGGGGGAAACCCUGAUCCAGCCAUCCCGCGUGUGCGAUGAAGGCCUUCGGGUUGUAAAGCACUUUUGGCAGGAAAGAAACGGCACACGGGAUAAUACCCCGUGCAACUGACGGUACCUGCAGAAUAAGCACCGGCUAACUACGUGCCAGCAGCCGCGGUAAUACGUAGGGGUGCAAGCGUUAAUCGGAAUUACUGGGCGUAAAGCGUGCGCAGGUUCGGAAAGAUGUGAAAUCCCAGAGCUUAACUUUGGAACUGCAUUUUUAACUACCGAGCUAGAGUGUGUCAGAGUGGAGGUGGAAUUCCGCGUGUAGCAGUGAAAUGCGUAGAUAUGCGGAGGAACACCGAUGGCGAAGGCAGCCUCCUGGGAUAACACUGACGCUCAUGCACGAAAGCGUGGGGAGCAAACAGGAUUAGAUACCCCGGUAGUCCACGCCCUAAACGAUGUCAACUAGGCUGUUGGGGCCUUCGGCCUUGGUAGCGCAGCUAACGCGUGAAGUUGACCGCCUGGGGAGUACGGUCGCAAGAUUAAAACUCAAAGGAAUUGACGGGGACCUGCACAAGCGGUGGAUGAUGUGGAUUAAUUCGAUGCAACGCGAAAACCUACUCACCCUUGACAUGUCUGGAAUCCCGAAGAGAUUUGGGAGUGCUCGCAAGAGAACCGAACACAGGUGCCGUAAUGGCUGUCGUCAGCUCGUGUCGUGAGAUGUUGGGUUAAGUCCCGCAACGAGCGCAACCCUUGUCAUUAGUUGCUACGAAAGGGCACUCUAAUGAGACUGCCGGUGACAAACCGGAGGAAGGUGGGGAUGACGCCAAGUCCUCAUGGCCCUUAUGGGUAGGGUCAUCGCCAUACAAUGGUCGGGACAGAGGGUCGCCAACCCGCGAGGGGGAGCCAAUCCCAGAAACCCGAUCGUAGUCCGGAUCGCAGUCUGCAACUCGACUGCGUGAAGUCGGAAUCGCUAGUAAUCGCGGAUCAGCAUGUCGCGGUGAAUACGUUCCCGGGUCUUGUACACACCGCCCGUCACACCAUGGAGUGGUUUUACCAGAAGGAGUAUCAACCGUAAGGAGGGCAUUACCACGGUAGGAUUCAUGACUGGGGUGAAGUCGUAACAAGGUAG
rnacentral:rRNA from 1 species